rnacentral:lncRNA from 1 species
CCUUUCGUUACACAACUAGCCCCCUCAACUAAAUACAAUUUACUUUCAGUUUAGCAGCUCAGGAUCAGAUACUUUUCAUCGGCCCUUCUGAAUGUUCGUUUCCGCUCAAAUUUGACGGCUAGGCUCGGUUUUUGCUAAAUAAACGGAAUAUAUCUUAAUUUCUCAGUUUCGAUCAUUUUUGGUCACUGAAAGCUCUACCGAACUGAAAUUUCUAAUAGAUAGCAGUCGGAUUUUAUUUUCCACCUUUCGGGUGUCAGAAUGACAUAAAACUUUAAAUCUAGCCUCAUAAAAAUAAUUCUGAUAUAUUCUCCAGUUUUCAUAAUUUUCUGACACUGUGCAUUUUCUGCUAAAAUAUCAGCCCCGUUUCUCACAGAAAAUUUUAAAUCUUCUGUUUUCAUUCCGAUUUCAGCACAAGUCAUUUCCAACUUAUGUUUUACUUCUUUAAAUCUAAUAAAAAUAGUAUCUCACACUAUUUUUAUUUAUAUUUACUUUUAUAUUAAAAUUCGGUAUAUUACACACUCACUCACUUUCAGUUUGUUCUCUCUUUCUUUACUCUUUCCUCCUCUACCCGAUACACUUUCUCCCUCUUCUCCUUCUCCUCCUCCAUCAUAUGUUUUUUUCUUCUUCCCUAUUUUUAUUCUUUCCAACCUCCACCUUUUCUCAAGUACAUCUCUCUCUCUCUUUCUCUCUCUCUCUCUCUCUCUCUCCCCCCCCACUCAUCUUUUACUCAUUUCUUUUUAUCGGUCUCCCGUAACGCCUCCUCUCUUAAAGAGCAGAUCGUCUCUUUGCCAUUAA